rnacentral:rRNA from 1 species
CAGCAGCCCGAGUGGUGGUCGUUUUUAUUGGGCCUAAAGCGUCCGUAGCCGGUCUAGUAAAUCCUUGGAUAAAUCGCACAGCUUAACUGUACGGCUCCCGGGGAGACUGCUAGACUUGGGACUGGGAGAGGUCGGAGGUACUCCAGGGGUAGGGGUGAAAUCUUGUAAUCCUUGGGGGACCACCAGUGGCGAAGGCGUCCGACUAGAACGGAUCCGACGGUAAGGGACGAAACCCUGGGGCGCGAACCGGAUUAGAUACCCGAGUAGUCC